GCGGGUAUAGGUCAGUGGUAGAGCGCGUGCUUAGCAUGCACAAGGUCCUGGGUUCAAACCCCCCAGUACCUCCA
rnacentral:tRNA from 1 species